GCACUGCUGAGGAGUUCCACAAUAGGGCGAAACGGCCUUCCAGUGC
rnacentral:hammerhead_ribozyme from 1 species